rnacentral:rRNA from 1 species
GUGGGGAAUAUUGGACAAUGGGCGAAAGCCUGAUCCAGCCAUGCCGCGUGAGUGAUGAAGGCCUUAGGGUUGUAAAGCUCUUUCAGUAGGGAAGAUAAUGACGGUACCUACAGAAGAAGCCCCGGCUAACUUCGUGCCAGCAGCCGCGGUAAUACGAAGGGGGCUAGCGUUGUUCGGAUUUACUGGGCGUAAAGCGCACGUAGGCGGAUUGGUCAGUUAGAGGUGAAAUCCUGGAGCUCAACUCCAGAACUGCCUUUAAUACUGCCAGUCUAGAGUCCAGAAGAGGUGAGUGGAACUCCUAGUGUAGAGGUGGAAUUCGUAGAUAUUAGGAAGAACACCAGUGGCGAAGGCGGCUCACUGGUCUGGUACUGACGCUGAGGUGCGAAAGCGUGGGGAGCAAACAGGAUUAGAAACCCCGGUAGUCC